CGUAACAAGGUUUCCG
rnacentral:rRNA from 1 species